AAUGAACGCUGGCGGCGUGCCUAACACAUGCAAGUCGCACGAGAAAGUCCCAGCUUGCUGGGGCAAGUAAAGUGGCGCACGGGUGAGUAACGCGCGGGUAAUCUACCUCCGAAUUGGUGAUAACACUGCGAAAGCGGUGCUAAUACCGAAUGACAUCCCCGGGACUCCGGUCUUGGUGAUCAAAGGUGGCCUCUACAUGUAAGCUAUCGUUUGGAGAUGAGCCCGCGUACCAUUAGCUAGUUGGUAGGGUAACGGCCUACCAAGGCUGCGGUGGUUAGCUGGUCUGGGAGGAUGAUCAGCCACACUGGAACUGGAGCACGGUCCAGACUCCUACGGGAGGCAGCAGUGGGGAAUUUUGCGCAAUGGGGGAAACCCUGACGCAGCAACGCCGCGUGAGUGAUGAAGGCUUUCGGGUCGUAAAGCUCUGUCAAGUGGGAAGAACCUGCUUUGUGAUAAUACCACGAAGCACUGACGGUACCACUGAAGGAAGCACCGGCUAACUCCGUGCCAGCCGCCGCUGUAA
rnacentral:rRNA from 1 species